GUCCCAUUAAAGUCUGUAUUUACCUGCCCACACAAGGAGCCUAACUUCUAGGCUCGCACACAGGCAGGUGGGAAAUUCGGUGGUACGCUCUGUCCAAGCUAGGCGGGAGGACCUUUAAAAAAGUUCUCUGCCUAAAUCUCUUGAGAGGUUCCAGGCGUGGAAACGCUAGGGUGUUGCCAUAAGAAAUCAAACGCUUUCACGAGUGUUAUGGGAGGCUUCACGGGCAGUUGGUCCUUUACAACAAGGGGCUAUUGAGUGCAAUAUACAGACCGUGGGCCCUGUGCCCAUGGAACCCGAUACCGAUUAUUUUAGUGGGAC
rnacentral:RNase_P_RNA from 2 species